GAUGAACGCUGGCGGCGUGCUUAACACAUGCAAGUCGAACGGUGAAGGCGGAGCUUGCUCUGCUGGAUCAGUGGCGAACGGGUGAGUAACACGUGAGCAAUCUGCCCCUGACUCUGGGAUAAGCGCUGGAAACGGCGUCUAAUACUGGAUACGAGCUGCGAAGGCAUCUUCAGCAGCUGGAAAGAAUUUCGGUCAGGGAUGAGCUCGCGGCCUAUCAGCUUGUUGGUGAGGUAAUGGCUCACCAAGGCGUCGACGGGUAGCCGGCCUGAGAGGGUGACCGGCCACACUGGGACUGAGACACGGCCCAGACUCCUACGGGAGGCAGCAGUGGGGAAUAUUGCACAAUGGGCGAAAGCCUGAUGCAGCAACGCCGGGUGAGGGACGACGGCCUUCGGGUUGUAAACCUCUUUUAGCAGGGAAGAAGCGAAAGUGACGGUACCUGCAGAAAAAGCGCCGGCUAACUACGUG
rnacentral:rRNA from 1 species